CCUACGGGAGGCAGCAGUCGAGAAUCAUUCACAAUGGGGGAAACCCUGAUGGUGCGACGCCGCGUGGGGGAAUGAAGGUCUUCGGAUUGUAAACUCCUGUCAUGUGGGAGCAAAUUAAAAAGAUAGUACCACAAGAGGAAGAGACGGCUAACUCUGUGCCAGCAGCCGCGGUAAUACAGAGGUCUCAAGCGUUGUUCGGAAUCACUGGGCGUAAGGCGUGCGUAGGCUGUUUCGUAAGUCGUGUGUGAAAGGCGCGGGCUCAACCCGCGGACGGCACAUGAUACUGCGAGACUAGAGUAAUGGAGGGGGAACCGGAAUUCUCGGUGUAGCAGUGAAAUGCGUAGAUAUCGAGAGGAACACUCGUGGCGAAGGCGGGUUCCUGGACAUUAACUGACGCUGAGGCACGAAGGCCAGGGGAGCGAAAGGGAUUAGAUACCCCAGUAGUC
rnacentral:rRNA from 1 species